GACGAACGCUGGCGGCGUGCUUAAACACAUGCAAGUCGAACGGUCCUGUUUUUGAAGCGCUUCGGCGUGGAGGGGACGGGGCAGUGGCGCACGGGUGAGUAAUGCGCGAGGACCUGCCCGCAGGAGGGGGACAGCAGUUGGAAACGGCUGGUGAUACCCCGUAGGCCGGGAGGUGAAAGGGCGGAGACGCCCGCCUGCGGAUGGACUCGCGUCCUAUCAGCUAGUUGGUGAGGCAACGGCUCACCAAGGCGACGACGGGUAGCCGGCCUGAGAGGGUGUCCGGCCACACUGGAACUGAGACACGGUCCAGACUCCUACGGGAGGCAGCAGUGGGAAUUUUGGGCAAUGGGGGAGACCCUGACCCAGCGACGCCGCGUGAGGGACGAAGGCCCUUGGGUCGUAAACCUCUUUUGCAGGGGAAGAAGAAGAUGACGGUACCUUGCGAACAAGUCCCGGCUAACUACGUGCCCAGCAGCCGCGGUAAGCUCGUCUCUA
rnacentral:rRNA from 1 species